rnacentral:rRNA from 1 species
GAUGAACGCUGGCGGCGUGCCUAAUACAUGCAAGUCGAGCGAACAGACGAGGAGCUUGCUCCUCCGACGUGAGCGGCGGACGGGUGAGUAACACGUGGAGAACCUACCUAUGAGAGGGGGAUAACUUCGGGAAACGGGAGCUAAUACCGGAUAAUAUAUUGAAACGCAUGGUUCAAUAGUGAAAGACGGUAUUACUGUAACUAAUAGAGGGCUCGGCGCGGCGUUAGUAUGUUGGGAGGGUACGGCUUACCAAGGCGACGAUGCGUAGCCGACCUGAGAGGGUGCUCGGCCACUCUGGAUCUGAGACGCGGCCCAGUCUCCUACGGGGGGCCGGUGUAGGGUCUCUUCCGCAGUGGGCGAGAGCCUGCCGGCGCAACGCCGCGUGAGUGAUGAAGGUCCUCGGCUCGUAAAUCUCUGUUUUUAGGGGAGCACAAAUGUGUAAGUAACUAUGCUCGUCUUGCCGGUACCACAUCAGAAAGCCCCGGCUACCUCCGU